rnacentral:lncRNA from 1 species
AAAAUGUGUCCUUAAUUUCUCUUGCUUCCUAGACCCCUUGAAACUCUGAGGAGAGCCAGUGACCCCUCCCUCCUUCUCAUGUGGAUUCUCGGGCAUUUGGGGACCGGAGUAAGGACCUCAGUCCUAAGGGAACACCCACUGCUCCCCAGGGAGGAUCAUUUCCGUUUCGCACAAAGCUAAGACCUACAAUUCUCGGGCAUCGUUUUUCCAGGAUGGCAAACGGGCAGGAAAAUGCUGGGUUAAAAGCUGUGGAAAAGUUCUAGUGUUGAAAAUCGGCUCGUAAAUGAUGAAGAGCUUUUUGAACUGCGAACUGGCUCUGGAUUGGGUGCAUAGGACGGUAACCAGCGACUCCGUCUCACUCCCCUGCCCGGCUCCGCUCCGCGCCCCGACUCCGCUG